rnacentral:rRNA from 1 species
CCCCUAGAUGUUCUGGGCCGCACGCGCGCUACACUGAACAGUUCAACAAGUCUUAACCUUGGCCGAUAGGUCUGGGUAAUCUUUGAACGCUGUUCGUGAUUGGGAUAGACCUUUGCAAUUAUGGGUCUUCAACGAGGAAUUCCUAGUAAACGCAAGUCAUCAGCUUGCAUUGAUUACGUCCCUGCCCUUUGUACACACCGCCCGUCGCACCUACCGAUUGAAUGGUCCGGUGAAAUCUCGGGACGGCGGCUCGGUCGCUUGCGUCCGACUGCUGAAACUUGAUUAAACCAUAUCAUUUAGAGGAAGGUGAANUCGUAGCA